GCGUGUAGCAGUGAAAUAUAGUAGAAAUGUGCAGGAACGCCGAUGGCGGAUGUCAGCCCCCUGGCUCAACAUUAGCGCUCAUACAGUGGAGAGUGGGCAGCAUAAAAGAUUAUAGACCUUGGUAGUGCACGCCCUAAACGAUGUGAGCUAGGUGUUGGGGAUUUUUUUCGUUAGUAACGUAGCUCACGAAUGAACUCGCCUGCGUAGGGAGUACGGUCGCAAGAUUAUAACACAAAGGAAUUGGCGGCCACCCGCACAACCGGUGAAUCAUGUGGAUUAAUUCCAAGCAACAGAACAAACCUUACCUACCCUUUACAUGGUCGGAAUUCAGAUAAGAGAUGGCAGUGGUGGCAAGUGACCCGGGGCACAGGUGCGGCAUGGCUGUGGUCAGUUCGUGUCGUGAGAUGUUGGGUUAAGUACCGCAACCAGCGCAACCCUUGUCCUUAGUUGUUACGCAAGGGCUCUUUAAGGAGUCUGCCGGUGACAAACCGGAGAAAGGUGGGGAUAGCGUCAAGUCCUCAUGCCCCUUAUGGGUAGGGCUUCACACGUCAUACAAUGGUGGGAACAGAGGGUUGACAACCCGAGAGGGGGAGAUAAUCCCAAAAAACCGAUCGUAGUCCGGAUUGCACUAUGCAACUCGAGUGCAAAAGAGGAAUCGAGAGUAAUCACGGAUCAGCAUAUCCCGGUAAAUACGUU
rnacentral:rRNA from 1 species